UUCCGGUUGAUCCUGCCGGACCUGACUGCUAUCGGAUUGAUACUAAGCCAUGCGAGUCAUUGUAGCAAUACAAGGCAGACGGCUCAGUAACGCGUAGUCAAUCUAACCUAUGGACGGGAAUAACCUCGGGAAACUGAGAAUAAUGCCCGAUAGAACACUAUACCUGGAAUGGUUUGUGUUCCAAAUGAUUUAUCGCCGUAGGAUGGGACUGCGGCCUAUCAGUUUGUUGGUGAGGUAAUGGCCCACCAAGACUAUUACAGGUACGGGCUCUGAGAGGAGUAGCCCGGAGAUGGGUACUGAGACACGGACCCAGGCCCUAUGGGGCGCAGCAGGCGAGAAAACUUUGCAAUGUGCGAAAGCACGACAAGGUUAAUCCGAGUGGUUUGUGCUAAACAGACCUUUUGUUAGUCCUAGAAACACUAACGAAUAAGGGGUGGGCAAGUUCUGGUGUCAGCCGCCGCGGUAAAACCAGCACCUCAAGUGGUCAGGAUGAUUAUUGGGCCUAAAGCAUCCGUAGCCGGCUCUGUAAGUUUUCGGUUAAAUCUGUAUGCUCAACAUACAGGCUGCCGGGAAUACUGCAGAGCUAGGGAGUGGGAGAGGUAGACGGUACUCGGUAGGAAGGGGUAAAAUCCUUUGAUCUAUUGAUGACCACCUGUGGCGAAGGCGGUCUACCAGAACACGUCCGACGGUGAGGGAUGAAAGCUGGGGGAGCAAACCGGAUUAGAUACCCGGGUAGUCCCAGCUGUAAACUAUGCAAACUCAGUGAUGCAUUGGCUUGUGGCCAAUGCAGUGCUGCAGGGAAGCCGUUAAGUUUGCCGCCUGGGA
rnacentral:rRNA from 1 species